rnacentral:rRNA from 1 species
AUUGAACGCUGGCGGCAGGCUUAACACAUGCAAGUCGAGCGGAGCGGCGGACGGGUGAGUAAUGUCUAGGAAUCUGCCUGGUAGCGGGGGAUAACGUCCGGAAAGGGGCGCUAAUACCGCAUACUAUCAGAUUAGCCUAGGUCGGAUUAGCUGUUUGGUGGGGUAAAGGCCUACCAAGGCGACGAUCCGUAACUGGUCUGAGAGGAUGAUCAGUCACCCUGGAACUGAGACACGGUCCAGCCUCCUACGGGCUGCCGCAGUGGGGCAUAUUGGACAAUGGGCGAAAGCCUGAUCCCGCCAUGCCGCGUCUGUGAAGAAGGUCUUCGGAUUGUAAAGCACUUUAAGUUGGUAGGCGUUACCAGCAGAAGAAGCACCGGCUAACUUCGUGCCAGCAGCCGCGGUAAUUC